rnacentral:rRNA from 1 species
AUUGAACGCUGGCGGAAUGCUUUACACAUGCAAGUCGAGCGGUAGACCCUUUCGGGGGUUGAGAGCGGCGAACGGGUGAGUAAUGCAUCGGAACGUACCCAGUCGUGGAGGAUAACGCACCGAAAGGUGUGCUAAUACCGCAUACGUCCUACGGGAGAAAGCAGGGGAUCGCAAGACCUUGCGCGAUUGGAGCGGCCGAUGUCUGAUUAGCUAGUUGGUGGGGUAAAGGCCCACCAAGGCGACGAUCAGUAGCGGGUCUGAGAGGAUGAUCCGCCACACUGGAACUGAGACACGGUCCAGACUCCUACGGGAGGCAGCAGUGGGGAAUUUUGGACAAUGGGCGCAAGCCUGAUCCAGCCAUUCCGCGUGAGUGAAGAAGGCCUUCGGGUUGUAAAGCUCUUUCGGCAGGAACGAAACGGUUUAGGCUAAUACCCUGAGCUAAUGACGGUACCUGAAGAAGAAGCACCGGCUAACUACGUGCCAGCAGCCGCCGCAGUAA